UAUAAUAAUGGCUAGUUUUUAUCUCUAACAGUGAGUUCAGCUCUUUCAAUGGCUAAAACUUAUUCUCCAACAACUCUCAAAUCUAUUAAAAGCUAGAGAAUCAUUUGGAUAAGCCAAGAGGAUUUAAGAGUGAAAUAUAUCAAAUUGAGUGAGCAUCAUUGAAUAUCAUUAGAAAUGGAGAAAAGUUGUGCACAGACUUCAAAGAGCUUUUAAGAGUGAUUUAUAUUGCUUUCAUUAUAUCAAUUCUGUUGCAACAUAUUUCAUACACCAC
rnacentral:lncRNA from 1 species